UAGAGUUUGAUCCUGGCUCAGGAUGAACGCUGGCGGUCUGCUUAACACAUGCAAGUCGAACGGGAUCCUUCGGGAUUUAGUGGCGGACGGGUGAGUAACGCGUGAGAAUCUGCCCUUAGGUUGGGGACAACAGUUGGAAACGACUGCUAAUACCCAAUGUGCCGAGAGGUGAAAGGUUAACUGCCUGGGGAUGAGCUCGCGUCUGAUUAGCUAGUUGGAGUGGUAACGGCACACCAAGGCGACGAUCAGUAGCUGGUCUGAGAGGAUGAUCAGCCACACUGGGACUGAGACACGGCCCAGACUCCUACGGGAGGCAGCAGUGGGGAAUUUUCCGCAAUGGGCGAAAGCCUGACGGAGCAAGACCGCGUGAGGGAGGAAGGCCUAUUGGUUGUAAACCUCUUUUGAUAGGGAAGAACACAAUGACGGUACCUAUCGAAUCAGCAUCGGCUAACUCCGUGCCAGCAGCCGCGGUAAUACGGAGGAUGCAAGCGUUAUCCGGAUUUAUUGGGCGUAAAGCGUCCGUAGGUGGCAAACCAAGUCAGUUGUUAAAGCGUAGAGCUUAACUCUAUAAGGGCAAUUGAAACUGGUUAGCUAGAGUGCGAUAGGGGCAAGGGGAAUUCCCAGUGUAGCGGUGAAAUGCGUAGAUAUUGGGAAGAACAUCGGUGGCGAAGGCGCCUUGCUGGGUCUGCACUGACACUGAGGGACGAAAGCUAGGGGAGCGAAAGGGAUUAGAUACCCCUGUAGUCCU
rnacentral:rRNA from 1 species